AAGACAUCUCCGAGACUCAGAUAGCUCCGCGAAAUCUCUACAUCGUUUUGUGUUGGAUAAUACUAAAGUGCAAUAAUAUGUCGGGAUUACUGAAUGGCAUUCUGCUUUUGUUCGCCUGCAACUUGUUGUUGGUCUUCUACGUGUCGGCCAAUAAGCAACAAAAACACCAAAAUCAAGAAAUCUGGGAACAAGACCUUUCGGACACCUUUAAAAUCGAGGGCAGCGAUCAGGGCAUCCAAAAGGUCAACCUUAAGUGCGGAGCGGACUCAAUGAACGUGGUGCUGGAGACGGAGAAGCCCUUCACGGGUGUGAUGUACACGCGUGGCAGCUUCUACAAGCAGACGGCACCGUGCUUCAUGAAGCCCUCUUCGAACCAGGGAGCCCGCACCAUGGAGAUGAACUUCCAGCUGGACCAGUGCCAAACACUCCGGGACGGAGACCUGUACACCAACAUCGUGGUGAUCCAGAACGAUCCGGAGUUGAUCACGCCCGGAGACUCGGCCUUCUCGCUGGAGUGCGACUUCCGACAGCCCCGCAGCCUGGACGUGGAGGCCAGCAUGCAGGCCAGGGACAGAGUGGCCACUGGCUCCAAAAUCACACUCACAAGUCCCGAUCCUGCGGCACCCACGGAACAUCUACACAACUCGGUGGUUAGCAACAGCGACUCGGUCGCAUACAUACCAAAGUUCAGCAGGCCAAAUAGAACCAUACACCUAGGCUCCGUCGAGGAGGUGACUCUGCCCUCGUCCUCCCAGUCCCGAGACGAGCUCUAGGAACACCUACACUGCACGACACGAUAACAAAAUAGGAAACAAGAUACUCAAAAACAUGAUCACAACACUUGAAAAACACAUCUGAGUACAGGAAAAAAGCACAAAAUGCAACGCAACCGUCAACGCAGAAAAAUUGAUGCCAAUUGGGCGAUAGAUGCACUAACACCACUUCAUGUAUUUUCAUUUAAAUGGUUUUUCAUAUCCUGUGAUAUUUUUUA